AGCACUGCAUGGAAAGGAGGGUUGGUGAAAUUAGCGCAUUUUGUAUACUUGUUGUGAAUUUUGGAAGAAAGACGAUUACUUUUUGUAUAUUAGCGAGAAUUUUUUUAAUUGUCGAAGAAUAUUUUAGGUUUCAAAGAUCUACCAGCUGUCAGUAGUAUUUGGUGAUUGCUCACUUCAUCUUGCUGAAGGAGGAGGGAUCCAAUUCCUGCUUCACUGGGAUCGAUGAAGAUGGGAUAUGAUUGGUUUUCUUCUGGAGAACUGAAGAAAAUUAGAUUUAUUCAUUAUAUGAAUUCAAGAGAAAACAAGGACCUAAACUCUUCCAGCCUGUGGCUGGUCUUUGGUGCUAAUUUUGUGAAUUGUAUCACCCUUAGAAGCUCCUAGCUCCAAGUAGAUGGUCAUCAGUUCAUGCUGAUGUAAUGUAUGGUCCCCUUCGUGGACUUCAUGUUCUGCCUAUGCAAUUCUCUUCUGGCAAUAAUCUCUGGGCUUCCACUGGAUACUUCCAGGACAUGGUAACAGUCUUCACCUACACUUGACUUCCAGACAUUAACAACUGGAUGAACGCAUUCAGGAGAGACACAUAAGCAUCAGGCGACGUCUUGUGAAUAAGCGUAAGUUUUAUU